rnacentral:rRNA from 1 species
AUGUAACGCUGGCGGUCUGCUUAACACAUGCAAGUCGAACGAACUCUUCGGAGUGAGUGGCGGACGGGUGAGUAACGCGUGAGAAUCUGGCUGUGGGUCGGGACAACCACUGGAACGGUGGCUAAUACCGGAUGAGACCGAAAGGUAAAGAUUUAUUGCCCACAGAUGAGCUCGCGUCUGAUUAGCUAGUUGGUAAGGUAAAGCGUACCAGGCGACGAUCAGUAGCUGGUCUGAGAGGAUGAGCAGCCACACGUGGGACUGAGACACGGCCCAGACUCCUACGGGAGC